AUUGAACGCUGGCGGCAUGCCUUACACAUGCAAGUCGAACGGUAACGGUCUUCGGAUGCUGACGAGUGGCGAACGGGUGAGUAAUACAUCGGAACGUGCCCGAUCGUGGGGGAUAACGAAGCGAAAGCUUUGCUAAUACCGCAUAAGAUCUACGGAUGAAAGCAGGGGACCGCAGGGCCUUGCGCAAACGGAGCGGCCGAUGGCAGAUUAGGUAGUUGGUGGGAUAAAAGCUUACCAAGCCGACGAUCUGUAGCUGGUCUGAGAGGACGACCAGCCACACUGGGACUGAGACACGGCCCAGACUCCUACGGGAGGCAGCAGUGGGGAAUUUUGGACAAUGGGCGAAAGCCUGAUCCAGCAAUGCCGCGUGCAGGAUGAAGGCCUUCGGGUUGUAAACUGCUUUGUACGGAACGAAAAGCCCCGGGUUAAUACCCUGGGGUCAUGACGGUACCGUAAGAAUAAGCACCGGCUAACUACGUGCCAGCAGCCGCCGUAAUAC
rnacentral:rRNA from 1 species